rnacentral:rRNA from 1 species
GUUUGAUCAUGGCUCAGCCUGAACGCUGGCGGCGUGGUUAAGACAUGCAAGUCGCACGGUGUAGCAAUACACAGUGGCGAACGGGUGAGUAAUGAAUCGCUAAUGUACCCUGGACUUGGGGAUAGCUAGCCGAAAGGUUAGGUAAUACCCGAUGACAUAUUCCUGCCGCAUGGCUGGGAAUCUCAAAGGUCCGCCGGUCUGGGAGCAGGCGAUUUCGUAUCAGCUAGUUGGUAGGGUAACGGCCUACCAAGGCGACGACGCGUAGCCGGACUGAGAGGUUGGCCGGCCACAUCGGGACUGAGACACUGCCCGGACUCCUACGGGGGGCUGCAGUAACGAAUCUUCCGCAAUGCACGAAAGUGUGACGGAGCGACGCCGCGUGUAGGACGAAGCCCUUCGGGGUGUAAACUACUGUCAGGGGAAAGAAAGUUCUGAUCUACCCCAGAGGAAGGGACGGCUAACCCUGUGCCAGCAGCCGCGGU